CUGGCGGCGUGCUUAACACAUGCAAGUCGAACGAAGCAUUUAAGACAGAUUACUUCGGUUUGAAGUCUUUUAUGACUGAGUGGCGGACGGGUGAGUAACGCGUGGGUAACCUGCCUCAUACAGGGGGAUAGCAGCUGGAAACGGCUGGUAAUACCGCAUAAGCGCACGGUAUCGCAUGAUACAGUGUGAAAAACUCCGGUGGUAUGAGAUGGACCCGCGUCUGAUUAGCUGGUUGGUGAGGUAACGGCCCACCAAGGCGACGAUCAGUAGCCGACCUGAGAGGGUGACCGGCCACAUUGGGACUGAGACACGGCCCAGACUCCUACGGGAGGCAGCAGUGGGGAAUAUUGCACAAUGGAGGAAACUCUGAUGCAGCGACGCCGCGUGAGUGAAGAAGUAGUUCGCUAUGUAAAGCUCUAUCAGCAGGGAAGAUAGUGACGGUACCUGACUAAGAAGCUCCGGCUAAAUACGUG
rnacentral:rRNA from 1 species